rnacentral:rRNA from 1 species
UACGUAGGUGGCAAGCGUUAUCCGGAUUUAUUGGGCGUAAAGCGAGCGCAGGCGGUUGCUUAGGUCUGAUGUGAAAGCCUUCGGCUUAACCGAAGAAGUGCAUCGGAAACCGGGCGACUUGAGUGCAGAAGAGGACAGUGGAACUCCAUGUGUAGCGGUGAAAUGCUUAGAUAUCACGAAGAACUCCGAUUGCGAAGGCAGCUCACUGGACUGCAACUGACACUGAGGCUCGAAAGUGUGGGUAUCAAACAGG